rnacentral:lncRNA from 1 species
CUAAGUUUAUCCAUUAACUCAGAACAAGUGAUAUUGCUAGAAUCUAGAGAAAGGAGGAGGAGAAUCUUUUCUCAUAAAGCAAUUUGCAAUUCAUAAUAAGAUUAUCAGUUUGACCCAUAGACCUGUCAAAGGGUUCUGAGGUCUAAGGAUGAUAGCUUCAAUUUGGGAACUGAGGGAAAGGGAUAGAUAGCUGGAAGAAGGCCUGGGGAGGGGACUCUUCAUUGUCAAGGAAUCUCCUCCCACUUGCAGGGCACCCUUCCUGCCUCAGGACACUCACAUGUGUCUAGGCCCUGGCCCAUGCAUGGUAGCACCCAUCACUCUUUUCUCUUGGAACCCACUGUGAAGUCCUCUUUCUGGUCCAUACCCUAUCUCCUCAGACUUCACCGAGUCCUCAGGGGCAAUGGAAUGAGAUCUUCCAGAACACUAGAGAGGAACUAUCUGUGGUCAGUACGGAGACUGGAAAGAAGUGACUACUUUCACUAUACCAACUGCCAUGACAGUGGGAUGGGAAGAUUUCUCUAUGAAGGACUCUCCAGGUCCAAACACAACACCCAAAGCCACGUAGCCAGGACCUGGAAGAGAUUCAGGAGCUUUCAUGGAACACUGGAAAAUCGAAACAGCAGCUAAAAGUGCAGCUACAGAAGCUUCCAGAUAAGAAUCUUCACUCCGGUGAGCUUGGGGGAGAAAGUAUUGACCCCCAGACUCCUAAAUCCCAUAUUAAAAGGAUGUGUUAUCUCAGGUAUGGGUCUUAACUCUGAAAGGCAUCUCUGGGGAACUACAAAGGGUUACAAGGUACACACACACACACACACACACACACACACACACACACACACACACUGACCCUAGCUUCAUCUGUUCAGGUUUAUCUUUAUGGUUUAUCCUGAAUGCCCAUUUAUAUCAACGGAAGCAGAGCUUCUCUGAGGACAAAGAUAUUUUACGCGCACAAGUAUUGAUAACCUGGAAUCAUGAAACUUUAACCUUGGAAGGCAUAUUGUAGCAAGACCGCGCCACUCUAUCAAAUUUCCUCCAAGCACUGUGUAUGCUUCUCAGGAACUUUCUGUGUGUCUGAUGACAUGUCGGCCUAACACGUUCAGCACAGAGGAGACGACCCAAAGAAAUAUCAUCCCUGAAGACUGUCUUCCCGAGGACGGGAGUGUCUGUUGGUAUAAAGAGUGCAGCAAUUUGUUAUCACAAUGCCUUUAAUCCCCAACGUCUUCAGCAAGUAGAAGCAGCACGCCUGUGGCAUAAACCACUCAGCUAUGAGAUAUAGAUCAUAGAGGUCACUUACAGAACAGGUUUCUGGGUGAUGACAGGUAGUCACAGAUCCACUAGAAUAGAGGGAAGCGACAUGGCUUAUAGCUGAAACAGUAGGACUGCCAGGCUCAGCUCCCCUGCAGGAUGAGGUUGGGGCUCAUCUGUGACUUCCACCCACUGGGGAGCACAUAUAAAGAUCUCUGAGUGGGAUGCCUCAAUCAUAGGACAUUUGUAUAGGUCUUUGAAGGUGCAGCGUAUCAGAAAUGCUGGAAGCGCAGCUUAAGACAGUGCAUACAGGGAAACCCCAAAGCACAACACAACCAUUUAGCUAGGAGGGACACGGAAUUGGCAAGAGCUGGUUAGGACAGGUCUCUGGUACUUGUCCUCUCAUUUAAAGCCUGAGAUAGUUUGUUAUCUUUAACAAUAAAAGUAAGAGCCAACAAAUUUCACUGGGAACCACACAGAUAAGAAGACAUGAAAUCCCAACUUACUGGGUAUCAAAGUCCAUGCUUGUUUUGCUACAACACGAUUCC